UCGAGCCACCCCGAGGGAUUCGAGGCGGAUUUCCCCCGGGGUUAGCGGGCCAGGAUGAUGGCAGGGGGCUUCAUGGGGAAGAGGAAGGAGCUGGAGCAGGUGGUCGACGGCCUCUUCGACUUCUCCCUCUCUGGCCCCGCCGCCAAGAGCUGCAGGCUGGUAUUGGGAAAUGCGCAAAACUUAUAUGAGCUGGAUUUCAAUGUUGUUGCUGUGAGAUGAUUCAAAACUCAUCUAUCUAGGAGCAUGAACUGGGAGGAUUGGUUCACCGAGGAGCUCUUGAUCAAGACCAAGCUCCUUCGGAGCGCUUAUUUUGUUAGCAAGUAUCUGGAUAAGAAGAAGAUGCUCAGUGGUAAGCGGACGGAGAGGAUAAAAAGCUACAGAAGCUGACUCAGGUCCAUGGAAGCGUGAACUAAGGUGAUGUGGCACCAACUAAUAUGAUGGUACUGUGCUGACAUUGGAGGAACAAGCAGCGAAUCGGGAACAGAUGAGGAAAAUUGAGAACCCUGUUGGAGUAAGAUGGAAGCCAGUUAGAUGAACCUUGUUGUGUAUUUUAUCUAAUGGUUUCAAACCAUGUUGUUCAUGAUGUGGAGAUGGACCCUAUUGGUCAUGUAAAUUAGAUGCCUCGAUUGUGAACCCUUGAAUGUUUCAGAAUGUUGGUUUGAGACCUAGACUGCUUGGAAAUAUCGGUUUUAAACAUUGUUUGA